rnacentral:lncRNA from 1 species
GCCUUCGGGCUAUUCCACCAUGCCAUAUGGUCAGUCCACUCACAAUCACAUGAUGAUGGGUCAUGGUGGCCAACACCAUGGCGGACACUAUGGCGGUCAUGACCAUGGCCAUGGCGGAUACUAUGGUAGUCAUGGACAUCAUGGGGCACAUAUGCCCCAUGACUCCACCAACUUUUCAAGUAGCACCAGUAUGAUCCAUAGUGAUGGUGGCUAUGGUAGUGGAAUGCAGCAAUCUGCCCAUAUGUCUUCGGCCAUGGGCAUGGGGU